rnacentral:rRNA from 1 species
AUUGAACGCUGGCGGCAGGCCUAACACAUGCAAGUCGAGCGGAUGAAGGGAGCUUGCUUCUGGAUUCAGCGGCGGACGGGUGAGUAAUGCCUAGGAAUCUGCCUGGCAGUGGGGGAUAACGUCCGGAAACGGGCGCUAAUACCGCAUACGUCCUGAGGGAGAAAGUGGGGGAUCUUCGGACCUCACGCUAUCAGAUGAGCCUAGGUCGGAUUAGCUAGUUGGUGGGGUAGAGGCCUACCAAGGCGACGAUCCGUAACUGGUCUGAGAGGAUGAUCAGUCACACUGGAACUGAGACACGGUCCAGACUCCUACGGGAGGCAGCAGUGGGGAAUAUUGGACAAUGGGCGAAAGCCUGAUCCAGCCAUGCCGCGUGUGUGAAGAAGGUCUUCGGAUUGUAAAGCACUUUAAGUUGGGAGGAAGGGCAGUAAGUUAAUACCUUGCUGUUUUGACGUUACCAACAGAAUAAGCACCGGCUAACUUCGUG